rnacentral:rRNA from 1 species
GGGUUGUGAGGUUAAGCGACUAAGCGUACACGGUGGAUGCCCUGGCAGUCAGAGGCGAUGAAGGACGUGCUAAUCUGCGAUAAGCGUCGGUGAGGUGAUAUGAACCGUUAUAACCGGCGAUUUCCGAAUGGGGAAACCCAGUGUGUUUCGACACACUAUCAUUAACUGAAUCCAUAGGUUAAUGAGGCGAACCGGGGGAACUGAAACAUCUAAGUACCCCGAGGAAAAGAAAUCAACCGAGAUUCCCCCAGUAGCGGCGAGCGAACGGGGAGGAGCCCAGAGCCUGAAUCAGUGUGUGUGUUAGUGGAAGCGUCUGGAAAGGCGUGCGAUACAGGGUGACAGCCCCGUACACAAAAAUGCACAUAUUGUGAGCUCGAUGAGUAGGGCGGGACACGUGGUAUCCUGUCUGAAUAUGGGGGGACCAUCCUCCAAGGCUAAAUACUCCUGACUGACCGAUAGUGAACCAGUACCGUGAGGGAAAGGCGAAAAGAACCCCGGCGAGGGGAGUGAAAAAGAACCUGAAACCGUGUACGUACAAGCAGUGGGAGCCUCUUAAUGGGGUGACUGCGUACCUUUUGUAUAAUGGGUCAGCGACUUAUAUUCUGUAGCAAGGUUAACCGAAUAGGGGAGCCGAAGGGAAACCGAGUCUUAACUGGGCGUUAAGUUGCAGGGUAUAGACCCGAAACCCGGUGAUCUAGCCAUGGGCAGGUUGAAGGUUGGGUAACACUAACUGGAGGACCGAACCGACUAAUGUUGAAAAAUUAGCGGAUGACUUGUGGCUGGGGGUGAAAGGCCAAUCAAACCGGGAGAUAGCUGGUUCUCCCCGAAAGCUAUUUAGGUAGCGCCUCGUGAAUUCAUCUCCGGGGGUAGAGCACUGUUUCGGCAAGGGGGUCAUCCCGACUUACCAACCCGAUGCAAACUGCGAAUACCGGAGAAUGUUAUCACGGGAGACACACGGCGGGUGCUAACGUCCGUCGUGAAGAGGGAAACAACCCAGACCGCCAGCUAAGGUCCCAAAGUCAUGGUUAAGUGGGAAACGAUGUGGGAAGGCCCAGACAGCCAGGAUGUUGGCUUAGAAGCAGCCAUCAUUUAAAGAAAGCGUAAUAGCUCACUGGUCGAGUCGGCCUGCGCGGAAGAUGUAACGGGGCUAAACCAUGCACCGAAGCUGCGGCAGCGACACUAUGUGUUGUUGGGUAGGGGAGCGUUCUGUAAGCCUGUGAAGGUGGCCUGUGAGGGUUGCUGGAGGUAUCAGAAGUGCGAAUGCUGACAUAAGUAACGAUAAAGCGGGUGAAAAGCCCGCUCGCCGGAAGACCAAGGGUUCCUGUCCAACGUUAAUCGGGGCAGGGUGAGUCGACCCCUAAGGCGAGGCCGAAAGGCGUAGUCGAUGGGAAACAGGUUAAUAUUCCUGUACUUGGUGUUACUGCGAAGGGGGGACGGAGAAGGCUAUGUUGGCCGGGCGACGGUUGUCCCGGUUUAAGCGUGUAGGCUGGUUUUCCAGGCAAAUCCGGAAAACCAAGGCUGAG